GCAAUGACGAACCUCUUGAUGUGUGAUUAUGUUGUGGCUUUUUUGUCGCCCUUGGAAUGUUUAUUCAACAUCUUUUAUUUCAUAAGCCAAUUUUUUUAAACUUCAUGUCAUAAUUUUCUGGUUCUAUCAAAUAUUCAAGAUUCGAGUGUUGCCUUUCAUAUUAUUCAAGUGCCGGGGGUUUGUAUAAACACCGGUUGUGCAAUUUGGUUCUUAUGUUCAGAUUCCUGUUAAUAAGUGCUGGCCCCACUUAUUCGGCUUUACUGGUAAAUGCUAAGAAAGUUUCAGGUACUCGCUGAUCAAGUUUGCAUGGGAUGGGAGUAGCCACGUCACGAUGAGCAUGCACACACCUUUGCCAUUCAUUAAAACAAUACUCUAGGCUGGAUAAUUCUUUGAUGUUGAGGAUUGUUGCUUGGUCCUUUGGUUGUCGCUUAAAAUUCAUUUAUUCGGUUGUGUUGGUUGAGGAGAAGUUUAUUUACUAUCUUUAUAUUCACUUGACUAUAUUUAUAUCUUGUGUGCCUUGGAUGUUAGAGUUUACAAAGGAGACCCUGCCGAAAUUUAUUAGAAUUUUUAAUGUUUAGUGCAAUUUAAUGUUUUUAGUAGUAACCUCCAGAUAUGUCGAUACUUGGGGCGUUACAAUGAAGAUGAUUAGUUCCCUAUAUGGUGCCUGCUGCAAAGGAUCCAUAUCAGCACGGCCCCCAGGUGAUGUGGACUGAGAAUCCAUAUCAAGCACAAAAGGGACGGAUUGGAAUAAUCAGCGGUGGCGAAUAUUUUUGUUAUAUACAUAUCCUUCUCAUCACGAAAAUCGUGUUUUAAUAAACAGGGGGUAUUCUUCACUGUGGGCUCUACGUACUCCACUCCAUAACUUUGCUGGAACAGUAAGCCAGUAAACUCGAUCUACGUAAAACUCUAGUACAAGGCAGCCGAGGAACAAGAUGACAGCCGCCAGAGCACUGCUGCAACAGCAGGACCAAGCUCGGUGAAGGAGUACUACGUGACAACAGUGAGCUACGGGUGCCCUGCACCCGCAACAGCCGGCAAACGUGCUCGACACUGCUCGCUCGGUACUCGGCAGUACCCUGUCCUCCCACGCUUCGCUUCAGUGCUUCACGGGUUACGUUUCCAGCUACUCCUACUAGCCAUGGCAUGGCAUAUGGCAGCGGCGGGAGGAGGAGGACCAGGCGCCUCUAGUCUACUGUACUCGACACCUUCCCGUUCCCGGUCAGUCGAUCGGUCACAUGUCCCUUUCCGUUUCCAGUCGCUGCUGCCUGGAACCGGUAGCGCCGGGGGCCCUCCUCGUGCCGUCUCGUCGGACAAAUCAUUGGUGCGGCUGACGCUCACACCAGUCGCUGAUGGUAGACACGCCGCCUCCACUGUUUCGGAGCCAAUAUAAUCGCGGUGCACGUA